UACGUAGGGGGCAAGCGUUGUCCGGAUUUAUUGGGCGUAAAGAGCUUGUAGGCGGUCUGUCGCGUCUGCUGUGAAAAUCCGGGGCUCAACCCCGGACUUGCAGUGGGUACGGGUAGACUAGAGUGUGGUAGGGGAGACUGGAAUUCCUGGUGUAGCGGUGAAAUGCGCAGAUAUCAGGAGGAACACCGAUGGCGAAGGCAGCUCGCUGGAACGGUACUGACGCUGAGGCGCGAAAGCGUGGGGAGCGAACAGG
rnacentral:rRNA from 1 species